UUUUUUCAGGUGGAAUUCAGUUUGGCCA
rnacentral:piRNA from 1 species